rnacentral:rRNA from 1 species
UACGUAGGCAGCGAGCGUUGUUCGGAAUUACUGGGCGUAAAGAGUGUGUAGGCGGUGCUCUAAGUUCGGUGUGAAAUCUCCUGGCUCAACUGGGAGGGUGCGCCGGAAACUGGAGUGCUUGAGCGUGGGAGAGGAAAGCGGAAUUCCUGGUGUAGCGGUGGAAUGCGUAGAGAUCCGGAAGAACACCGGUGGCGAAGGCGGCCUGCUGGGCAGUUGCUGGACACUGAGGCGCGACAGCGUGGGGGAGCAAACAGG